rnacentral:rRNA from 1 species
UACGGAGGGGGCUAGCGUUAUUCGGAAUUACUGGGCGUAAAGCGCACGUAGGCGGAUUGGAAAGUCAGAGGUGAAAUCCCAGAGCUCAACUUUGGAACUGCCUUUGAAACUCCCAGUCUUGAGGUCGAGAGAGGUUAGUGGAAUUCCGAGUGUAGAGGUGAAAUUCGUAGAUAUUCGGAAGAACACCAGUGGCGAAGGCGGCUAACUGGACCAUUCUUGACGCUGAGGUACGAAAGCGUGGGGAGCAAACAGG